rnacentral:snoRNA from 1 species
UCCAGCAGUUGCCAGCCCUCCAGGCUGGUGCCAUGCAUGUGAUGAUGUUGCACUGUUGGAAGAGCCAGUGUUGAGGUUUGGCUCCACCCACUGUUUUGGUGUUGCAGGAAAAUACCUUUGAGCAAUGUUUUACACCUCUGAGAGGGGAAUGACUCCUCCUGUGGAACUGGUCCCAGUCUGGGUGCAAACAAU